rnacentral:rRNA from 1 species
AAGAAAGCGUAAUAGCUCACUGGUCGAGUCGGCCUGCGCGGAAGAUGUAACGGGGCUAAACCAUGCACCGAAGCUGCGGCAGCGACACUGUGUGUUGUUGGGUAGGGGAGCGUUCUGUAAGCCUGUGAAGGUGGCCUGUGAGGGUUGCUGGAGGUAUCAGAAGUGCGAAUGCUGACAUAAGUAACGAUAAAGCGGGUGAAAAGCCCGCUCGCCGGAAGACCAAGGGUUCCUGUCCAACGUUAAUCGGGGCAGGGUGAGUCGACCCCUAAGGCGAGGCCGAAAGGCGUAGUCGAUGGGAAACGGGUUAAUAUUCCCGUACUUGGUGUUACUGCGAAGGGGGGACGGAGAAGGCUAUGUUGGCCGGGCGACGGUUGUCCCGGUUUAAGCGUGUAGGUGUGUGUUCCAGGUAAAUCCGGUUCACUUUAACACUGAGGCGUGACGACGAGGCACUACGGUGCUGAAGCAACAAAUGCCCUGCUUCCAGGAAAAGCCUCUAAGCAUCAGGUAACAUCAAAUCGUACCCCA